UUUCCUACGGGAGGCAGCAGUGAGGAAUAUUGGUCAAUGGGAGGAAUCCUGAACCAGCCAUGCCGCGUGCAGGACGACGGCUCUACGAGUUGUAAACUGCUUUUGUACCGGGGUAAAAUGCCUUACGAGUAGGGUUUUGAAAGUACGGUACGAAUAAGGAUCGGCUAACUCCGUGCCAGCAGCCGCGGUAAUACGGAGGAUGCGAGCGUUAUCCGGAUUUAUUGGGUUUAAAGGGUGCGCAGGCGGCGUGUCAAGUCAGCGGUAAAAUGUCGGGGCUCAACCCCGGCCGGCCGUUGAAACUGGCG
rnacentral:rRNA from 1 species